rnacentral:rRNA from 1 species
UACAGAGGUCUCAAGCGUUGUUCGGAUUCAUUGGGCGUAAAGGGUGCGUAGGCGGCGCGGUAAGUCGGGGUGUGAAAUCUCGGAGCUUAACUCCGAAACUGCAUUCGAUACUGCCGUGCUUGAGGACUGGAGAGGAGACUGGAAUUUACGGUGUAGCGGUGAAAUGCGUAGAUAUCGUAAGGAAGACCAGUGGCGAAGGCGGGGUCUCUGGACAGUUCCUGACGCUGAGGCACGAAGGUCAGGGGGAGCAAACGGGG